AUUGAAACACUGGUUCCUGUAUGAUCACCGAGGUUAAGCAGUGUCAAGCCAAGUUAGUACCUAGAUGGAUAACCACUUCAGAAUACCAGGUGCUGUAA